AGUGAACGCUGGCGGUAGGCCUAACACAUGCAAGUCGAACGGCAGCACAGUAAGAGCUUGCUCUUACGGGUGGCGAGUGGCGGACGGGUGAGGAAUAUAUCGGAAUCUACUUUUUCGUGGGGGAUAACGUAGGGAAACUUACUCUAAUACCGCAUACGACCUACGGGUGAAAGCAGUGGAUCUUCGCACCUUGCGCGAUUGAAUGAGCCGAUGUCGGAUUAGCUAGUUAGCGGGGUAAAGGCCCACCAUGGCGACGAUCCGUAGCUGGUGUGAGAGGAGGAUCGGCGACACUGGAGCUGAGACACGGUCCAGACUCCUACGGGAGGCAGCAGUGGGGAAUAUUGGACAAUGGGCGCAAGCCUUAUCCAGCCAUACCGCGUGUGUGAAGAAGGCCUUCGGGUUGUAAAGCCCUUUUGUUGGGAAAGAAAAGCAGCAGGUUAAUACCCCGCUGUUCUGACGGUAACCAAUGAAUAAGCACCGGCUAACUUCGUG
rnacentral:rRNA from 1 species